rnacentral:rRNA from 1 species
UACGUAGGGCGCAAGCGUUGUCCGGAAUUAUUGGGCGUAAAGAGCUCGUAGGCGGUUUGUCGCGUCUGCUGUGAAAACCUGAGGCUCAACCUCGGGCUUGCAGUGGGUACGGGCAGACUAGAGUGCGGUAGGGGUGACUGGAAUUCCUGGUGUAGCGGUGGAAUGCGCAGAUAUCAGGAGGAACACCGGUGGCGAAGGCGGUGGUCUGGGCCGGCACUGACGCUGAGGAGCGAAAGCGUGGGUAGCAAACAGG